GUCAUACUUUACUUUUAAUUGUCUUGGUCCCACAUGUAUAUAAAAUUAACUUUUACACUUAUCCACUUAAAUAAUAAUUAACCAUUUACCCACAUAAUAAAAAAUUAUUUUAAAUUAGUUAAAAUAUUACUCACUUUUAUCACAUAUUUUAUACCUUACUAUCAUGGUCAUGUGGUACCUUGUAUGGUACUAGUCCAUAAAUA
rnacentral:lncRNA from 1 species